rnacentral:rRNA from 1 species
UACGUAGGGUGCGAGCGUUGUCCGGAAUUACUGGGCGUAAAGAGCUCGUAGGUGGUUUGUCGCGUUGUUCGUGAAAUCUCACGGCUUAACUGUGAGCGUGCGGGCGAUACGGGCAGACUUGAGUACUGCAGGGGAGACUGGAAUUCCUAGUGUAGCGGUGGAAUGCGCAGAUAUCAGGAGGAACACCGGUGGCGAAGGCGGGUCUCUGGGCAGUAACUGACGCUGAGGAGCGAAAGCGUGGGGAGCGAACAGG